AUAGACCAUCUCUCUCACCCUCCGUCGUCUCUGUCGCUGAAAAUCGCUCCAUGGCUGCGGGCAGUCCCCAAACGACCCCAAAUCUUCACCCUAUAAUGCCUACCUAAUUCUCAUAUCACAUCGCUUCGUUUCCUUCAAAACCCUCAAGAAUCUCUCAAUUUGUAGAUCUUGGAAAUCCUAAAACCUAAAUCCAUCCUUUUUGAUUUUUUCUCAAAUUCUGGCUUGUUAAGGCUUAAAACCAUUACCAAUCGACUUCUCUUGUUUAGUAUUACAGAAUGUCAUUGGUUUCAUCUCGUUUCAAGAUGGCCGACCGCCGACCAACUCACCAUUGACCGGCCAGAAGUGCUGAAAUUCCACAAAGGUUGGUCUUUUUGGCCGAAUUAUGGCUAACAUCGUCCCAUACAGCAUUAAUUACGCCCUCAAGCAUAAGCCAGUGCUCAUGUGGCGAUGUCGUCUCUCGUCCGGAAUUUUUUUCUCUGCGGCCAACAGUGCUUCACAUGAUAUAACAGUCGUUCAUGGAUUUGGCCAUUAAUUGGUCAAAUUUAUAAAUCUCAAAGCCAAAAUAUUUUAUUAGAAGUGUUUGGAGCUAUUGUAAUUCGUUUUGCUCAAGUAGAAGCAUAAAUUUUCAUGUUGGGACUGUAAUAUGAUUUUUGGACAUGAGUAUAUUGUAUUAUGUAAAGUCACAUGGGACUGAGGUUUCAUUC